CCUACGGGAGGCUGCAGUGGGGAAUAUUGGACAAUGGGCGCAAGCCUGAUCCAGCCAUGCCGCGUGAGUGAUGAAGGCCUUAGGGUUGUAAAGCUCUUUUGUCCGGGACGAUAAUGACGGUACCGGAAGAAUAAGCCCCGGCUAACUUCGUGCCAGCAGCCGCGGUAAUACGAAGGGGGCUAGCGUUGCUCGGAAUCACUGGGCGUAAAGGGCGCGUAGGCGGCCAUUCAAGUCGGGGGUGAAAGCCUGUGGCUCAACCACAGAAUUGCCUUCGAUACUGUUUGGCUUGAGUUUGGUAGAGGUUGGUGGAACUGCGAGUGUAGAGGUGAAAUUCGUAGAUAUUCGCAAGAACACCAGUGGCGAAGGCGGCCAACUGGACCAACACUGACGCUGAGGCGCGAAAGCGUGGGGAGCAAACAGGAUUAGAUACCCUAGUAGUC
rnacentral:rRNA from 1 species